rnacentral:rRNA from 1 species
UACGGAGGGUGCAAGCGUUAUCCGGAAUCACUGGGUUUAAAGGGUGCGUAGGCGGUUUAGUAAGUCAGUUGUGAAAUUCCCCGGCUUAACCGGCGGGACUGCGAUUGAUACUGCUAGACUUGAAUUAGGUUGAGGUAGGCGGAAUGUGGCAUGUAGCGGUGAAAUGCAUAGAUAUGCCAUAGAACACCGAUUGCGAAGGCAGCUUGCUGGACCUUAAUUGACGCUGAGGCACGAAAGCGUGGGGAGCAAACAGG